UACGGAGGGGGCUAGCGUUGUUCGGAAUUACUGGGCGUAAAGCGCACGUAGGCGGCUUUGCAAGUUAGAGGUGAAAGCCCGGGGCUCAACUCCGGAAUUGCCUUUAAAACUGCAUCGCUAGAGUUGUGGAGAGGUAAGUGGAAUUCCGAGUGUAGAGGUGAAAAUUCGUAGAUAUUCGGAAGAACACCAGUGGCGAAGGCGACUUACUGGACACAUACUGACGCUGAGGUGCGAAAAGCGUGGGGAGCAAACAGG
rnacentral:rRNA from 1 species